CUACGGGAGGCUGCAGUGGGGAAUAUUGGGCAAUGGGCGCAAGCCUGACCCAGCAACGCCGCGUGAGGGAAGAAUGUCUUCGGAUUGUAAACCUCUGUCCUUGGGGACGAGAAAAAUGACGGUACCCAAGGAGGAAGCUCCGGCUAACUACGUGCCAGCAGCCGCGGUAAUACGUAGGGAGCGAGCGUUGUCCGGAAUUACUGGGCGUAAAGGGUGCGUAGGCGGCUAGGCAAGUCAGAUGUGAAAUACCCAGGCUUAACUUGGGGGGUGCAUUUGAAACUGCUUGGCUUGAGUGCAGGAGAGGAAAGCGGAAUUCCUAGUGUAGCGGUGAAAUGCGUUGAUAUUAGGAGGAACACCAGUGGCGAAGGCGGCUUUCUGGACUGCAACUGACGCUGAGGCACGAAAGCGUGGGGAGCAAACAGGAUUAGAUACCCUAGUAGUC
rnacentral:rRNA from 1 species